UGAGUGUCAAUUCAAUUCUAUUAAUUAUAUUAGAUCACAUGGAAUAGUACUUAGGAUGUUCAUAAACAUUAUCUGCCUCCGUGGCUUGUAUUGUAUAUUUUACAAAAGGGUUACUACUUGCCAAUUGGUUCAAUGUAUGUGAUUUAAAUCUCCCCUAUAUAUGUAACUGAACAAAUCUAACUUAUUUGCCUAUAUGUGAUCUAAACAGGUUACACCAGAUCUAAACAAAUUCAUGAGUUCAGUUUGUUUUCAGUGAUAAAAACUAAUUAUUUGUCCCUCUUAUCAUCUUAUGCAACAUUCUGCUUGUUGAGUGAUUAUUUACUGCUGAUUUACUGAAUAUGAUCUUCACCUAAAAAAGAGUGUUGAUGAUGUCUCUGAUAGUGAUUCCUGCAAAAAGAGAUCAAAGGCUACGUUUCAAGGCAUUGAUGGGUUGGUAUUAAGAGAAAAAGAACUAAAAGAAGCCAUGAGAAGUUAAAAGAGGCAAAUCAGAAAAUAUCAGCAUUUUCAGUUACUCUCACCAUAAUUACAGAUGCAUAUAAUCAACAGUAAUGAGCAAUUUCAAAAUGAGAAAUCAGCAUAAAAAGGGGCAGACUAAAAAACUCCAACAGUUACCUAUUGCCCAUAAUCAACCCUAAUGAGCAGUUAAAGGAGAAUAACCAGAAAAUAAAAGAGGUGGUCGCACAUUACUAAUUCUCAAUUAGCAACCCAAGAGACCCCCAACCAACCAUUAUAUAAAGGAUACAACAUACAGCCAUAAGAAAAACAGAGAAACAAAAACGGAGACUACAAUACCAAAACAGAAAUACAACAACCAGAGAGAAACAUAUACAGCAUCACAGUGUGUGCACAAGAAACACAUACAUUGCAACAAAAAAAUAGAGCAUAUACACACAGACCACACAGUGAUAAAAAGAGAACAUUCAGAGCAUACACAGAUACACACAUAUCACCACAUACUAGAGGCAUAGCCUAUGUAAUCAGAGAACCAACAUUCAGAAGGACAAAGGAAGAGAGCAUACACUCAGGUAAGCAUUCAAACUACAAAAAACAAUGUUUUAUAUGUGCCCUGAGCAUCAACACAUACACGCAUAUCCGAUAAACAUAUCCUGCUCUAUAUGGUCUAUGUACUAGACUUAUAUGCUUAAUUCAUAAAUGUUUUUUAAUUGAUACACAGUGGUUUCAACAGAACAUCUACCUACUUAAGUAAAAACGAAAUAGAUGAAAACAAACGUGCAUUGCUGUAACCUUAAAGCAAGAUAAUAUGAUUUACGUCCAGUUUAGCUUUUGAUCCAAAUCUAUUUUUACAUACAUAACACCGAUCAUUCCACAGAAACACAUAUACUGGAUUAGAACGUAAAUAAAAAAAAACACAUGAUUGAAAUCUGUUUUAGUUUACAUGUCACCACCAAUUAGUACCAGCAAUAAGAUUAGGCAGAAUUUCAAUAGAAAAGGGAUUACUCCCUUAUCACUACUAAUCUGGAACCCUAAUAAGUCUCUAUGAGGGAGAGGGUGAGGGUUCAUGAGAAAUAAGGAAAGGAUUACCUUUUCUUCAAACCAUCGUGGUAAUCGACGUUACGCACCGUGAUUCCACUUUCAUCAAUCGAACCACUGCACCUCACCACCGUUACUGCCUCCCAUCGCCGCUGCCACCGGAGAGAAGAGGUGAAGCCGUCACCGGUGGCCUUGUCCAGCACCAUUGAAGUCGUCGAAGGGGAGAAAAGGGGAAGAGGUGACCCAACCACGAACCACCUCCUCGUCGAAGAACCAUCACGACCCGAAUCGCAAACCCGUCUCUGGAACAAGGCGAAGAAGAGAAGAAGAGGGUGGAUUGGGAGUUUAGGAUUUCUAUCCUACCCCUUUUGGCCGUGAGUGGAAAGAGAAGAGAGGAAUUAGGGAUUUCAAUCCCAAAUUUAAUUUGUGAAGCGGAUACCUUUCCUUUUUCUUUUUACUUAACAUUCUU
rnacentral:lncRNA from 1 species